rnacentral:rRNA from 1 species
UGGGGAAUAUUGCACAAUGGAGGGAACUCUGAUGCAGCGACGCCGCGUGAACGAAGAAGGCUUUCGAGUCGUAAAGUUCUUUUAUAUGGGAAGAUAAUGACGGUACCAUAAGAAAAAGCCCCGGCUAACUACGUGCCAGCAGCCGCGGUAAUACGUAGGGGGCUAGCGUUGUCCGGAAUCACUGGGCGUAAAGGGUUCGCAGGCGGAAAUGCAAGUCAGGUGUAAAAGGCAGUAGCUUAACUACUGUAAGCAUUUGAAACUGCAUAUCUUGAGAAGAGUAGAGGUAAGUGGAAUUUUUAGUGUAGCGGUGAAAUGCGUAGAUAUUAAGAAGAAUACCGGUGGCGAAGGCGACUUACUGGGCUCAUUCUGACGCUGAGGAACGAAAGGGUGGGUAGCAAACAGG